rnacentral:rRNA from 1 species
GAUUUCGGGUGGGUUCGAGUCGGUCCGCCUCUGGUGUGCACUGCUUGGGCCUACCUUUCUGUCGGGGACGGGCUCCUGGGGUUAACUCUUCGGGACUCGGAGUCGACGAUGUUACUUUGAGUAAAUUAGAGUGUUCAAAGCAAGCCUACGCUCUGAAUACAUUAGCAUGGAAUAACGCGAUAGGACUCUGGCCUAUCUUGUUGGUCUGUAGGACUGGAGUAAUGAUUAAGAGGGACAGUCGGGGGCAUUCGUAUUACAUUGUCAGAGGUGAAAUUCUUGGAUUUAUGUAAGACGAACUUCUGCGAAAGCAUU